UACGUAGGUGGCAAGCGUUGUCCGGAUUUAUUGGGUUUAAAGGGUGCGUAGGCGGUUCCAUAAGUCAGUGGUGAAAUACAAUAGCUUAACUAUUGAGGUGCCAUUGAUACUGCGGAACUUGAGUACAGACGAGGUAGGCGGAAUUGACGGUGUAGCGGUGAAAUGCUUAGAUAUCGUCAAGAACACCGAUAGCGAAGGCAGCUUACUAGACUGUAACUGACGCUGAGGCACGAAAGUGUGGGGGAUCAAAACAGG
rnacentral:rRNA from 1 species